AUUGAACGCUGGCGGCAGGCCUAACACAUGCAAGUCGGACGGUAGCACAGGGGAGCUUGCUCCUCGGGUGACGAGUGGCGGACGGGUGAGUAAUGUCUGGGGAUCUGCCCGAUAGAGGGGGAUAACCACUGGAAACGGUGGCUAAUACCGCAUAAUGUCGCAAGACCAAAGAGGGGGACCUUCGGGCCUCUCACUAUCGGAUGAACCCAGAUGGGAUUAGCUAGUAGGCGGGGUAACGGCCCACCUAGGCGACGAUCCCUAGCUGGUCUGAGAGGAUGACCAGCCACACUGGAACUGAGACACGGGCCAGACUCCUACGGGAGGCAGCAGUGGGGAAUAUUGCACAAUGGGCGCAAGCCUGAUGCAGCCAUGCCGCGUGUAUGAAGAAGGCCUUCGGGUUGUAAAGUACUUUCAGCGGGGAGGAAGGCGAUGUGGUUAAUAACCGCGUCGAUUGACGUUACCCGCAGAAGAAGCACCGGCUAACUCCGUGCCAGCAGCCGCCGUAA
rnacentral:rRNA from 1 species